rfam:Triticum aestivum genome assembly, contig: Triticum_aestivum_CS42_TGACv1_scaffold_405091_5BL
AAAAUACUCCCUCCGUUCUGAAUUACUUGUCUUGGAUUUGUCUAGAUACAGAGGCAUCUAGCACUAAAAUGAGUCUAGAUACAUCCGUAUCUAGACAAAUUCAAGACAAGUAAUUCGGAACGGAGGGAGUACUUG